GAUGAACGCUGGCGGCGUGCCUAAUACAUGCAAGUCGAGCGAACGGACGAGAAGCUUGCUUCUCUGAUGUUAGCGGCGGACGGGUGAGUAACACGUGGAUAACCUACCUAUAAGACUGGGAUAACUUCGGGAAACCGGAGCUAAUACCGGAUGAUAUUUUGAACCGCAUGGUUCAAAAGUGAAAGACGGUCUUGCUGUCACUUAUAGAUGGAUCCGCGCUGCAUUAGCUAGUUGGUAAGGUAACGGCUUACCAAGGCAACGAUGCAUAGCCGACCUGAGAGGGUGACCGGCCACACUGGAACUGAGACACGGUCCAGACUCCUACGGGAGGCAGCAGUAGGGAAUCUUCCGCAAUGGGCGAAAGCCUGACGGAGCAACGCCGCGUGAGUGAUGAAGGUCUUCGGAUCGUAAAACUCUGUUAUUAGGGAAGAACAUAUGUGUAAGUAACUGUGCACAUCUUGACGGUACCUAAUCAGAAAGCCACGGCUAACUACGUGCCAGCAGCCGCGGUAAUACGUAGGUGGCGAGCGUUAUCCGGAAUUAUUGGGCGUAAAGCGCGCGUAGGCGGUUUUUUAAGUCUGAUGUGAAAGCCCACGGCUCAACCGUGGAGGGUCAUUGGAAACUGGAAAACUUGAGUGCAGAAGAGGAAAGUGGAAUUCCAUGUGUAGCGGUGAAAUGCGCAGAGAUAUGGAGGAACACCAGUGGCGAAGGCGACUUUCUGGUCUGUAACUGACGCUGAUGUGCGAAAGCGUGGGGAUCAAACAGGAUUAGAUACCCUGGUAGUCCACGCCGUAAACGAUGAGUGCUAAGUGUUAGGGGGUUUCCGCCCCUUAGUGCUGCAGCUAACGCAUUAAGCACUCCGCCUGGGGAGUACGACCGCAAGGUUGAAACUCAAAGGAAUUGACGGGGACCCGCACAAGCGGUGGAGCAUGUGGUUUAAUUCGAAGCAACGCGAAGAACCUUACCAAAUCUUGACAUCCUUUGACAACUCUAGAGAUAGAGCCUUCCCCUUCGGGGGACAAAGUGACAGGUGGUGCAUGGUUGUCGUCAGCUCGUGUCGUGAGAUGUUGGGUUAAGUCCCGCAACGAGCGCAACCCUUAAGCUUAGUUGCCAUCAUUAAGUUGGGCACUCUAAGUUGACUGCCGGUGACAAACCGGAGGAAGGUGGGGAUGACGUCAAAUCAUCAUGCCCCUUAUGAUUUGGGCUACACACGUGCUACAAUGGACAAUACAAAGGGCAGCGAAACCGCGAGGUCAAGCAAAUCCCAUAAAGUUGUUCUCAGUUCGGAUUGUAGUCUGCAACUCGACUACAUGAAGCUGGAAUCGCUAGUAAUCGUAGAUCAGCAUGCUACGGUGAAUACGUUCCCGGGUCU
rnacentral:rRNA from 1 species